rnacentral:lncRNA from 1 species
CAAUGAAUCCUUAGAUCGACUUGCAAGAAAUGAUGUUAGAUACCGAUUUGUCAUUGACAUUGCAGGAAACUUUAACCCAUCACAUCUUUAGAGAAGCAAGAGUAGUCUUGGUUCUCAUCUACCUAUCUUCUAGUUCACUUUGCAGGAAACUUUAACCCCUCACAUCUUUAGACAAACAGAGUAGUCUUGGUUCUCAUCUACCUAUCUUCUAGUUCACUUUGUUGUCUCAUUCAAGUCUCAGUAAACUAUUUAUCUACUUCUGUGUAUCUCUUAAGAGAUUAAUAAACAAACAAAUAACUUUUGAUUGAAUCCUUCUUAU